AACGCACAUUGCGCCCGCUAGUAUUCUGGCGGGCAUGCCUGUUCGAGCGUCAUUUCAACCAUCAAGCCCCAGGCUUGUGUUGGGGACCUGCGGCUGCCGCAGCCCUCUAAAAGCAGUGGCGGUCUCGCUGUCAUACCGAGCGCAGUAGUUUAUCUUCGCUUUGGGCGUGGUGGCGAGUGCCGGCCGUGAAACACUUUUCUAAGGUUGACCUCGGAUCAGGUAGGAAUACCCGCUGAACUUAA
rnacentral:misc_RNA from 1 species